rnacentral:rRNA from 1 species
UACGAAGGGGCUAGCGUUGUUCGGAAUCACUGGGCGUAAAGGGCGCGUAGGCGGCAAUUCAAGUCAUCUGUGAAAUCUCCGGGCUUAACCCGGAACGGUCAGGUGAUACUGUUUUGCUAGAGUGCGGAAGGGGCAAUCGGAAUUCUCGGUGUAGCGGUGAAAUGCGUAGAUAUCGAGAGGAACACCAGAGGUGAAGACGGGUUGCUGGGCUGACACUGACGCUGAGGCGCGAAAGCCAGGGGAGGCAAACGGG